UUGAUCGAGUGAUCCGCCCCCACUCUCUCAUAACUCUGUUUGCUUUGUUAUGUCUAUAAUAGAGGUAUGCAUAGGUUGUGUGAGGCUUGUUCUAUGUCCAAUAUUACCUCUGUUUUCUGUUGUCCUCAAAAGUAACUAAAACCAAACAUCAUAGAAUAGUGGCCUAAUGGGGUGGUUGUUCAAGGAGGAAGGACUGGUGUACAAGUCGGUGGAGGAGGUUGAUCUUGGUCCUACUAGUCACGAACUCUAUCUCCGAGCCCAUGUUAAAGCUCCUAGAAUGGCUGGACUUAUGGUCAAAAUUUUCGCCUGGUUUCUGGAGUCACGGAUCUUCGGGACAUUACUGUUGUACAUCCUGAAGAGAAACAAUCUAAUUCACAAGCUCAUAACGAAUGCGGAGCUGGAGACGCUUCCUCUCUUCGUUCCCUUACAUCCUUUUGAAGAUCGUAAAGAAGAAGAAGUGAAAUGCAUAGAUUCAGAUUUAUCUCCACCUGAACAAGUUCAACAGGCAGUGAACUGUUUGCCUAAUUCUGCAGAAGAUAUAUUUAGUGGUAUAAAACCUUGUUUUCGGUGGUGGACAGUAUUGGACUAUUCAAGAGCUUAUACUUGCCGAAAAAUAACUCCUCGAUUGGUUGCCGAGCGAUUUAUAGCGGCUGUACAUGAAUGUUGUAAUCCUCCUUUGCAGAUGUCAUUCUUUAUUAACUAUAAUGUUGAAGAUAUUCUAAAGCAAGCAACUGAAUCCACACUUCGGUAUGAACGAGGACAACCAAUAUCAGUCCUAGAUGGAGUCCCAAUUGCUAUCAAGGAUGAAAUAGACUGCUGCCCUUAUCCAACUACAGGAGGAACGAAGUGGCUGCACAAAGUAAGACCUUGUACUGAUGAUGCAUGCUGUGUUAAGCGCCUCAGAUUAUGUGGCGCCAUACUUGUUGGGAAGACCAAUAUGCAUGAACUUGGGGCUGGAACAAGUGGGAUCAAUCCUCACUACGGGGUUACUAGAAAUCCAUAUGAUAUCACCAAGAUCUCCGGAGGUUCUUCUAGUGGGUCUGCCGCAGUGGUCGCUGCAGGAUUGUGCCCUGUCGCCCUUGGUGUUGAUGGGGGAGGAUCUGUGCGAAUGCCAGCAGCUCUUUGUGGUGUUGUUGGUUUGAAACCAACUUUUGGACGCAUACCUCAUUCUGGUGUUCUUCCUUUGAAUUGGACGGUGGGAAUGGUUGGGAUCUUAGCAGGCACCAUCGAGGAUGCAUUUAUUGUUUAUGCAGCUAUGAAUGGACGACUUCCAUCAGAUCAACCCACCAGUGGUGUACAGCCCAAACUGUAUUUUCCACUGUUCCAUUCAACUAAACCUAUCUCUGAUGUCAAAUUAGCCAAGUAUGCAGAGUGGUUUGAUGAUUGCAGGGAUGAUAUCAGAAUAUGUUGUUCUAAAGCUCUAAACAAACUUCAGGAGCACUAUGGUUGGAAGAUUGUAGAGGUGACUAUACCGGAUAUAGAAGUGAUGCGAUUGGCACAUUAUUCAACAAUUGGAUCUGAGUGUAGCGCUUCCCUUAGUUCUCAUCUAGAAAAGCUGAAUCCAGCAGAAUUAGGAUGGGAUACAAGGGUAGCACUUAGCGUGUACAGUUCUUUCAGCAGCAAGGAGUACAUAAAGGCACAAAAAAUUAGGAAUCGCCAGAUGCAGUUUCAUAUGAAUAUAUUUGCUCAGGCAGAUGUCAUUGUUUCACCAACAACAGGCGUAACUGCAUACCCAAUAAAAGAUGAUGCUCUAGAGACCGGUGAACUCGACUAUAUAAAUGGAGCUGCACUAGUUCGGUUUUCAAUAGCAGGAAAUUUUUUAGGAUUGCCUGCUGUUACUGUUCCGGUGGGAUAUGACAAACUUGGUUUGCCGAUUGGCCUUCAGUUUAUGGGUCGGCCAUGGUCCGAACCAACAUUAAUUCACAUAGCAUCGGCAAUGCAGGCCCUCUGCAAGUCAGGCUACAGAAAGCCAGAGGUUUUCUAUAAUCUUCUUAAUAAGGAUUAGUUGCACGACGAACAUCCAUUGAAUUACAAAUGGUGAUGGUCAUACAAAUUUGCAGUAUGGGAUUGUGGUGAUAACCACAAUCACAUACAUGUUUAUGCAGGACAGGAGAGAAAGGUCAGGACUAAUAGGAUCUUUAUGUUGAACCUAUUAUUUAUGAAUAAGGCUUUUAAGUAUUUCUUUAAAUAUGUAAUAUUCUAUAUGUGGGUUUGUGCCACAUGUGGCAAAUAUGUUAAUGUUUUGUGUGCCUUUAUUAUGUGAAAACAUCAAAUUAUAUUGUUUAUAUAUUGAGGUAAUUCAAUCAGCUUUGAUGUGUUA